rnacentral:lncRNA from 1 species
CAAGCUUCUCCUACUCUACCCCAGGAAGAAUUACCUUUGAAAAUAUGAUACUGAGCAAAAAAGAAAAAAAAGGAAAAAUGAGCUGGAUUAUUGAAUCCUUAUGUUGAGACUGAGAAUCUGAAAGGGAAAGAGAAUUUAUCAUUGGGAGGAAACAGAACUGAUAAGUGGCUGUAUGGCCAGCUGGCACUGAUGUUAAUUGUUUGUAGUUCU